rnacentral:rRNA from 1 species
UACGAAGGGGCGAGCGUUUGUUCGGAUUUACUGGGCGUAAAGGGCGCGCAGGCGGCUCAUUUUGUCAGGCGUGAAAGCCCCGGGCUUAACCUGGGAACUGCGUUUUGAUACGGGUGGGCUAGAGUUCGGGAGAGGAGAGUGGAAUUCCAGUGUAGAGGUGAAAUUCGUAGAUAUUGGGAAGAACACCGGUGGCGAAGGCGGCUCUCUGGACCGAUACUGACGCUGAGGCGCGAAAGCGUGGG